rnacentral:lncRNA from 1 species
CGAGGGUUAUGAUGUCAUCAAAUUGCUGGCCUUCUCACGAUAGCAGAUUAAAAGAAUAGAUGAUUCUUGCCAUAUCAUAAUAUUUACACAGAUCUGUAUCACAUCUUGACUGAUUGCUCACCAGGAAACAUAACAGCCGGCAUAGAUGACAUGGUCUUGGUUAACUUGAAGAUGUCGCCGGCUUGAUGGACGUGAACUCGUUCGAUGCGGAAGGGAUUGGCGCUGACUUGCGUCUCGGCAGCUUGUUGGCGUGGAGGGUGCAGCAGCUUUUGGCCUUAGCCUGGAUGUACGGCGUGCGGAGCCUGGAUGCCUGGAAACGAUGGGUGUUUAUGCGUUGAGCCAAAGAGCCUGGCGGCGUGUGCGUCAACGAGCAGGGGCGAUCGAAUCAGAGCCUGGCGGCGUGUGCGUCAAGGAGCAGGGCGAUCGAAUCUGGCAGAGCCCUGGCGACGUGUACGUCAAUACUUAGAGCUAAAAAGGCAGGAACCGAUCAACCCUC